UAAAAAAUCUAUUGAUUGUUAUUGCCUCACUC
rnacentral:piRNA from 1 species